rnacentral:rRNA from 1 species
UGGGGAAUAUUGGACAAUGGGCGCAAGCCUGAUCCAGCCAUGCCGCGUGAGUGAUGAAGGCCUUAGGGUUGUAAAGCUCUUUCGCCGACGAAGAUAAUGACGGUAGUCGGAGAAGAAGCCCCGGCUAACUUCGUGCCAGCAGCCGCGGUAAUACGAAGGGGGCUAGCGUUGUUCGGAAUCACUGGGCGUAAAGCGCACGUAGGCGGAUUGUUAAGUCAGGGGUGAAAGCCUGGAGCUCAACUCCAGAACUGCCCUUGAUACUGGCAAUCUCGAGUCCGGAAGAGGUAAGUGGAACUGCGAGUGUAGAGGUGAAAUUCGUAGAUAUUCGCAAGAACACCAGUGGCGAAGGCGGCUUACUGGUCCGGUACUGACGCUGAGGUGCGAAAAGCGUGGGGAGCAAAACAGGAUUAGAUACCCUGGUAGUCCACGCCGUAAAACGAUGGAGGCUAGCCGUUGGCGAGCAUGCUCGUCAGUGGCGCAGCUAACGCAUUAAGCCUCCCGCCUGGGGAGUACGGUCGCAAGAUUAAAACUCAAAUGAAUUGACGGGGUCAUAGCUGUUU